rnacentral:rRNA from 1 species
AUUGAACGCUGGCGGCAUGCCUUACACAUGCAAGUCGAACGGCAGCGGGGACUUCGGUCCGCCGGCGAGUGGCGAACGGGUGAGUAAUGUAUCGGAACGUACCAUUGAGGGGGGGAUAACGUAGCGAAAGUUACGCUAAUACCGCAUAUUCUCUCCGGAGGAAAGCAGGGGACCGCAAGGCCUUGCGCUCUUUGAGCGGCCGAUAUCAGAUUAGCUAGUUGGUGAGGUAAGGGCUCACCAAGGCGACGAUCUGUAGAGGGUCUGAGGGGAUGAUCCGCCACACUGGAACUGAGACACGGUCCAGACUCCUACGGGAGGCAGCAGUGGGGAAUUUUGGACAAUGGGGGCAACCCUGAUCCAGCCAUGCCGCGUGAGUGAAGAAGGCCUUCGGGUUGUAAAGCUCUUUCAGCCGGGAAAAAAUCGCAUGGGCUAAUACCCUGUGUGGAUGAUGGUACCGGAAUAAGAAGCACCGGCUAACUACGUGCCAGCCGCCGCCGUAACAC